CGACGGGAGCUUGCUCCCUUAGGUCAGCGGCGGACGGGUGAGUAACACGUGGGUAACCUGCCUGUAAGACUGGGAUAACUCCGGGAAACCGGGGCUAAUACCGGAUGCUUGAUUGAACCGCAUGGUUCAAUCAUAAAAGGUGGCUUUUAGCUACCACUURCAGAUGGACCCGCGGCGCAUUAGCUAGUUGGUGAGGUAACGGCUCACCAAGGCGACGAUGCGUAGCCGACCUGAGAGGGUGAUCGGCCACACUGGGACUGAGACACGGCCCAGACUCCUACGGGAGGCAGCAGUAGGGAAUCUUCCGCAAUGGACGAAAGUCUGACGGAGCAACGCCGCGUGAGUGAUGAAGGUUUUCGGAUCGUAAAACUCUGUUGUUAGGGAAGAACAAGUACCGUUCGAAUAGGGCGGYACCUUGACGGUACCUAACCAGAAAGCCACGGCUAACUACGU
rnacentral:rRNA from 1 species